rnacentral:tRNA from 1 species
GACUCGGUGGUUCACUGGUAGAGUGUUCGCCGUGGAGCUAGAGGAUUUCGGGUUCGACCCCCGAUAGUGUCG